rnacentral:rRNA from 1 species
UACGUAGGUGGCAAGCGUUGUCCGGAUUUACUGGGCGUAAAGAGCGCGCAGGCGGUCGUUCAAGUCGCGUGUGAAAGCCCCCGGCUCAACUGGGGAGGGUCACGCGAUACUGAUCGACUCGAAGGCAGGAGAGGGUAGUGGAAUUCCCGGUGUAGUGGUGAAAUGCGUAGAUAUCGUGAGGAACACCAGAGGCGAAGGCGACUACCUGGACAAUUGCUGACACUCAGGCACGAAAGCAUGGGGAGCAAAAGGG